AUUGAACGCUGGCGGCAGGCUUAACACAUGCAAGUCGAGCGGAGUGAUGGUGCUUGCACUAUCACUUAGCGGCGGACGGGUGAGUAAUGCUUAGGAAUCUGCCUAUUAGUGGGGGACAACAUCUCGAAAGGGAUGCUAAUACCGCAUACGUCCUACGGGAGAAAGCAGGGGAUCACUUGUGACCUUGCGCUAAUAGAUGAGCCUAAGUCGGAUUAGCUAGUUGGUGGGGUAAAGGCCUACCAAGGCGACGAUCUGUAGCGGGUCUGAGAGGAUGAUCCGCCACACUGGGACUGAGACACGGCCCAGACUCCUACGGGAGGCAGCAGUGGGGAAUAUUGGACGAUGGGGGGAACCCUGAUCUAGCCAUGCCGCGUGUGUGAAGAAGGCCUUAUGGUUGUAAAGCACUUUAAGCGAGGAGGAGGCUCUUUUGGUUAAUACCCAAGAUGAGUGGACGUUACUCGCAGCAUAAGCACCGGCUAACUCUGUGCCAGCAGCCGCCGUAA
rnacentral:rRNA from 1 species